CGGCAAUGGAGGAAACUCUGACCGAGCAACGCCGCGUGAACGAUGAAGUAUUUCGGUACGUAAAGUUCUUUUAUUAGGGAAGAAUAAAUGAUGGAAAAAUCAUUCUGACGGUACCUAAUGAAUAAGCCCCGGCUAACUAUGUGCCAGCAGCCGCGGUAAUACAUAGGGGGCAAGCGUUAUCCGGAAUUAUUGGGCGUAAAGGGUGCGUAGGCGGUUAAAUAAGUUUAUGGUCUAAGUGCAAUGCUCAACAUUGUGAUGCUAUAAAAACUGUUUAGCUGGAGUAAGAUAGAGGCAAGUGGAAUUCCAUGUGUAGUGGUAAAAUGCGUAAAUAUAUGGAGGAACACCAGUAGCGAAGGCGGCUUGCUGGGUCUUUACUGACGCUGAGGCACGAAAGCGUGGGGAGCAAACUGGAUUAGAUACCCUGGUAGUCCACGCCGUAAACGAUGAGUACUAAACGUUGGGUAAAACCAGUGUUGAAGUUAACACAUUAAGUACUCCGCCUGAGUAGUACGUACGCAAGUAUGAAACUUAAAGGAAUUGACGGGACUCCGCACAAGCGGUGGAUCAUGUUGUUUAAUUCGAAGGUACCCGAAAAACCUCACCAGGUCUUGACAUGCUUCUGCAAAGCUGUAGAAGCACAGUGGAGGUUAUCAGUUGCACAGGUGGUGCAUGGUUGUCGUCAGCUCGUGUCGUGAGAUGUUGGGUUAAGUCCCGCAACGAGCGCAACCCUUAUUGUUAGUUACCAGCACGUAAUGGUGGGGACUUUAGCAAGACUGCCAGUGAUAAAUUGGAGGAAGGUGGGGACGACGUCAAAUCAUCAUGCCCCUUAUGACCUGGGCUACAAACGUGAUACAAUGGCUGUUACAAAGAGUAGCUGAA
rnacentral:rRNA from 1 species